rnacentral:misc_RNA from 1 species
UAAAACCUCAAGCCUUGCUUGGUAUUGGGUUUUCGUCUCUCCUGUCUUCUCUGUACACAGGUAGUGACGUGCCUGAAAAUCAAUGGGGGUGCCUCAAUAGCCUCAAGCGUAGUAGACUGACUCGCUUUGGAGAAGCUGUUGUAGGCCCUGCAAAUAAAUAACAA